UCAACAUUUUCACCCUAUAAAUUCGAGCAUUGCGUGCAGUGUUUCUCCAACAAGUUCUGUUGCCCUGGUUGCAGUGCUUGUUUCAUUUUGCCUGCCAAAUUUUGUUUGGUGUGCUACCCUCCUGCUCAAGUUCCAGGCCAAAUUUUGUUUGGUGUGCUGCCUCCUGCUCAAGUUCGAGACCAAAGCUUGUUUGGUGUGCUGCCUCCUCCCCAAAGUUUCCUACUAGACCUGCUGAGAUGCCUCGCUGUGGAAUUUGUGGAUGAACAUCUGGACCUGUCAUCAUAUCCUGGAGAUCAUGCAUUGUACAGUGACAAAAAUAAGGGUAAGUUGUUUAGAUUCAAGUGUGAGACUGGUGGUCGUAUAAUUGAGGAGGUAGUUGCUCUAAAGGCUAAAAUGUAUUCGAUAAAGUUGGUUGGUGAUGAUCAAAUAGCUAGAGCAAAAGGAGUGAAGAAGGAUAUACUUCGCAAGCAUUUGCUUCAUGAUGUGUACAAAAAUGUGUUGUUCAAUAGUGAAAAGGUAUCUCAUGUGCAAAGAUCAAUAUGUAGCAAACGUCAGUGCAUGUAUACCUUGGAGAAUACCAAGCUUGCUCUCAUGCCCUAUGAUGAUAAACGUUAUCAAUUCAAUGCCAUCGAUUCAUACCCUUAUGGAAGCUGCCAAAUCAAUGAAGAAAAUGUGUGAGUAUGUUCCAUUCUCAUGUCUUAAUUGCCAUCCUGUAGCAUCUUUGUUGUCUUGUAUGUUUCUUCUGUUUCAGGUGUGAAGGUUUUUCCGCUGGGUUUUCUCCUUCACACAGAUUGGCAACAUAAUUGGCAACAUAAUUGGCAAUCCCCAGCACCAUUGGCUUUAAUUGGCAUUACUAAGCAUCAUUGACUUUAAUUGGCAUUAAUAAAAUAUUUUUCACUUGUACAAAUGUGUAUGUCUAUUGCUUG